CUUGCCUAAGAGCAGGCAGAAAAAGUGGGGCCGGGCCCACAUCCGUGCUCUUGCCAGCGAGCACGGAUGUGGGCUCGGCCCCACUUU